rnacentral:tRNA from 1 species
GCCAGCAUGGUGUAGUGGUUUGAGCAUUGGAUUAUGACUCUAGAGACCAGGGUUUGAUUCCCCAGAUGGCC